UACGUAGGGUGCAAGCGUUAAUCGGAAUUACUGGGCGUAAAGCGUGCGCAGGCGGUUCGCUAAGACAGAUGUGAAAUCCCCGGGCUUAACCUGGGAACUGCAUUUGUGACUGGCGGGCUAGAGUAUGGCAGAGGGGGGUAGAAUUCCACGUGUAGCAGUGAAAUGCGUAGAGAUGUGGAGGAAUACCGAUGGCGAAGGCAGCCCCCUGGGCCAAUACUUACGCUCAUGCACGAAAGCGUGGGGAGCAAACAGG
rnacentral:rRNA from 1 species